UUAUAAUUAAUCAGCUUCAAACCUGUCACUUCUGAACCAAUCAAACACACAGUCGAGGGUACUACGUCAUAUUGCAUGUGUUUUCUUCACCAAAUAUGGGAUUAGGUAAACACAGCCUUAUGUUGUUACACUACACUACGUGUGACAAUUUUAUGUUAUCGGGCAUAUGUUUAUGAGAAUCAGAUAUGCAGCCGUCACAGCCUGCUGAUGAAGAUCCUCAGCUUAUUAUACAGAGGUCAGGCUUGAGCUAUGUGCUGAUUCAAAAGAUGCUAAUGACAGUGGAUAAUCCAUUCUGAGUUGUUCUAGGAUCAUUCACCAACGUUUCAAAACACUGAUGGAAUUGAAGGCAGUACAUAUACUGAUGUCUGGCCUGUGAUUUCAAGUAUAGACUAUAAUUGAUGUACCUCCUCCUGAUGUAUCUCCAUGAAAAAUAUAUCUGCCAUGUGAAAGGAGCAAGCUGCAAGAUAUACUGUGGAAGUGGGGGCCUAUGUAAAAAACAUUUUAUUUAAAGAAUAUAAGAAAUCUGACACUAAACUACUGAAAAGGUGCACAGGGGACAUUUUUGUGUGUAUAGACUUUCAUCAAGAUUCUGAGAAAGUUGAUUUAUUAAACAGAAAUAAUCAUAUUGUGUCUUCAAAGCUGAAAAAGAUUAAGAUCUUAGGAAACAUUAGGACUCAAGAAAAGUAAUGGGGUAAUGAAACUGCAGUGUUCAACAUUUAAAUUGUUUUUUUUUUUUUUUUCACUACAUUUUGUGAAGAGGGUUCCAUCACAAGAUGUGACAUAUUGGUAAGAAUGAGAUGUAGUUUAUGAAAAAAAGUAUUUUGCUUUAAAUGUGUAGACUUUAAGUUACAUAAAAAAUCAAAGCUGUAACAAUAAAGCUUGAUUUAAAAAAACUAGCCAACAUGUAAUUGUCACACUUUCUUGGGCGCACAGGGGACACAAUUAGCUAUAUAAUUUAAUAUAACUUUAACCAUUAGGCCCUUGCUAAAUUUCUAUAAUGGACUUGUCCAUUUUACAAUUUGGACAGUAUUAUUAAGUGUUAAAAAGGGUGCUAACCAAAAGAUUCUGACUGAAUGGCGCACAGUGCAGAUGAAGAUCAGACUGCACUAAUAUGCAGGCUGAUCAUGAUCUACACUUGUCGCAAAGGUAGGACCAACCAUGAACAGCAUGAUAAGGAUUAAAACUGCUUGAGCCAUUCAACUGAAAUUGUAAACAUUUGUUGACUACAUUGAUUGGAUAUAAUGUAACUUGCCCCAAAACACUUUAUAAAACUGAACUGAAUUAAAAUAAGGUGAGAGAAAAGGAAAAGCUUAAUUAUUAAUAAAAAACAAACAAUAUAGCCGAUAGAUACACAUUGUUGAAGGCAUUAUCUUUGUUUACAUUAAAUUUAAAUGUGGCUGCCACCUUUUUGUUAGAAAUAUU